rnacentral:rRNA from 1 species
CAUGCAAGUCGAGCGGUAGAGAGAAGCUUGCUUCUCUUGAGAGCGGCGGACGGGUGAGUAAUGCCUAGGAAUCUGCCUGGUAGUGGGGGAUAACGCUCGGAAACGGACGCUAAUACCGCAUACGUCCUACGGGAGAAAGCAGGGGACCUUCGGGCCUUGCGCUAUCAGAUGAGCCUAGGUCGGAUUAGCUAGUUGGUGAGGUAAUGGCUCACCAAGGCGACGAUCCGUAACUGGUCUGAGAGGAUGAUCAGUCACACUGGAACUGAGACACGGUCCAGACUCCUACGGGAGGCAGCAGUGGGGAAUAUUGGACAAUUGGCGAAAGCCUGAUCCAGCCAUGCCGCGUGUGUGAAGAAGGUCUUCGGAUUGUAAAGCACUUUAAGUUGGGAGGAAGGGCAGUAAAUUAAUACUUUGCUGUUUUGACGUUACCGACAGAAUAAGCACCGGCUAACUCUGUGCCAGCAGCCGCGGUAAUACAGAGGGUGCAAGCGUUAAUCGGAAUUACUGGGCGUAAAGCGCGCGUAGGUGGUUUGUUAAGUUGGAUGUGAAAGCCCCGGGCUCAACCUGGGAACUGCAUUCAAAACUGACAAGCUAGAGUAUGGUAGAGGGUGGUGGAAUUUCCUGUGUAGCGGUGAAAUGCGUAGAUAUAGGAAGGAACACCAGUGGCGAAGCGACCACCUGGACUGAUACUGACACUGAGUGCGAAAGCGUGGGGAGCAACAGGAUUAGAUACCCUGGUAGUCCACGCCGUAACGAUGUCAACUAGCCGUUGGGAGCUGAGCUCUUAGUGCGCAGCUAACGCAUUAAGUUGACCGCUGG